rnacentral:tRNA from 1 species
GUCUGUAGCUCAGGUGGUUAGAGCGCACGCCUGAUAAGCGUGAGGUCGGAAGUUCAAAUCU